rnacentral:lncRNA from 1 species
CCAAGAGUGUACCUGUCCAAGCCAUGGGCUGCCAGCUUCUCCAGGAGAGUACUGUGGGAGACAGUGUCGAAGGCUUUGCUGAAGUUCUGGGUAGACUAUGUCAGCAGCCUCCCCUUAUUUACCAGUCAGAUCACUCUAUCGUAGAAAGAGAUCAGGUUGGUCAAGCAGGACCUGCCUCUCAUGAGCCCAUACUGGCUGUGUUACCUGGUUGUCCUGCACGUGUUUUGUGAUCUCUCUUGAGAUGAUCUACUCCAUAACCUUUCCAGGUGCUGAGGUCAGGCUGACAGUAGUUCCAUGCAUCCUCCAUACCAACCUUCCUGUAGAUAGGAGUCACACUGGCAAGUCCCCAGUCCUCUGUGACUUCUCUGGUUGACCAGGAACGAUGAUAGAUGAUGAAAAGCCCCUUAGCUAUCACCUCUGCCAGCUCCGUCUGCACCCUUGGGUAGAUUCCAUCUCAUCCCAUGGGCUUGUGGCAGUCCUGGUGAGGACUGCUAAAUGUAAUUAGGGAUUUCCUAAGUCAAAUCAUUAACUUAAAUUCAUGAAUAUAUGUAGUAUUUGAUUGUACUCAUAAGGUAGGUAAUGGGGGCAGAAAGACUUUGGAGAACAAUGAGGAUAUAUAUCCUGUGUCAUAGAACUGCAGAAUACGUUGAGUUGGAAGGGGUCCAGAGAGUUCAUCGAAUCCAACUCCUGACUCCAGACAAUACUACCCAAAAUCAAACCCUGUGUUUGAGAGUGGUGUCCAAACACUCUUAGAGCUCCAUCAGCCUGGGGCAGUGACCACUGCCCUGGGCAUUCUGUUCCAUGCCCACCGCUCUCUGGUGCAGACCCUGUCCCUCAACCCCAGCUGCCCCUCCCCUCACACAGCUCCAUGCCGUUCCCUCGGGCCCUGGCACUGUCACACAGAGCAGAGCUCAGCGCUGCCCCUCCGCUCCCUGUGAGGAGCUGCAGCCACCAUGAGGCCUCCCCUCAUCUCCUUUGCUCUGUGCUGAGCAAACCAGGACCCUCAGCUGCUCCUCGCACACCUUUUCUAAUAUUUUUUAUGUCCUUCUCAUAUUAUGGUGCCCCAAACAGCACAUCCUUUUAUCCUGAGUGAUGCUGAGCGCAGUGCUCCUGCUGCUAGUCCUGUGUUCUAUUCCCAGCUGUUGAUUCAUCUGACUCGUGAUGUUUGUAGAUCUGCAGGGAACUGAGAGUAACUCAUACCUUGUGCUAAGUAACUCUAGCCUUUGGUCCAAAUCAUAACUGUAGUUCAGUCUGCUUUCCUUCUUUAGCUUAUAACUCCGUAUAUUAAAACCUAAGUAAGAACUCUACUUCCUUCCAGUUAAUUCUGUUUUAUGCCGUGUCAGAUAAAAGGCACAUUUUACGUUUUGUGUUAAUCAAACUACUACUUUCAUGAACAAAACAAAAUAUUCAAUAAAAUAUAAGAGGAAACAGAUCGUCAGAGGUUUUCAAGUGACGGAGUGAAGUGUAAGCAAUACUGUAGUUGUACAACACCAUUCUGUUAUUAAAAAUAGAAGGAAACCAUGCUUGUUGGCAAGCAGAUUUUGCAGUGCUUGGAGCUGGGGGCAGGAUUUAGAAGAGGGCAUUCCUGUGUCCCUUAAAAUGCAGAAAUAAGUUCUAGUGGAAGAGGAAACUGUCAAAGAAGAUCAUCUUGGGAUGAAAAUGUUUCUUGUGUCUAAUGUUGAAUCCACUGCAGGGCUCCCGGUUGUCUGUAUGAAGGCUUUCAGCAAUGGGAACAGGAGCCAGAGCUGGAAUCAUACAGCAGGUUGAGAGUGUUGAUGUCAUUUUUGUCAUACAAUUGUUUUAAUUAUUUUAAUUAAUCACUUGUUAGGUAAGCAUAUGGGGAAAAGGUGUUUCAGAUUGCCUGUUUUCUUGUUGGGGAAAAGGUCACCGUAUUCUGUUUGUUGCUGGGUUGUUUGCCAGGUUGAGCUUUGCAUCUGAAAGUAUUUGGCUGCUUGUUUCACGUGCAGAAGAACUCUAAGCAGGAUCCAUUUUCCAGAGUGAUUAGGUUCUUUCUUUUGUGCAGCUGUUUGAGAACUGCUGUUGUGACUAGGUGGGUUUUUGGAUUUCUGCACAGAGCAGAACUAGGUGAGUGGAUAGAAAGGUAACUUGGUCUGAUAUAAAUCUGUACCACGAUGAGCAGAAUUUAUGGAUCCGGGUGCCUUGACAGUUGUUUCUUUCUCCUCCCUCCAUUCCUGUUCAGCUAGGGCAGUAACAGCACAUCAGUGUCCAAGAUAUCUGUACUGGGCAAGAAGCUGCAUGUGUGGUGCUAUGUCUGGAGCUUCGGAUGUGUGUUUGCUAGCCAGCUGCUGCCUAAAGGCACGUUACGUGAUGAGCUCUGUCAGAGUCUCCCUCAGUAAGAAGGUGGAGAGAAGGGCAGAUAAAUGACUAACUGAUAUUUUCCUCAAUUUAUAUACUGAUUUUUUAUGAAAUAUGAGAGAAACUGAUGACUUCUGAGUUUCUGCUGAGUAUUUUUGCAGUUGGAUAAUGCAUUCAGAAAUUACUGGAGAAGACAGACAGAAUAACAUAUUCCUUACUCACUUAGGAAAUCAAGCUUAAAAUAGUGAUUUUUAGGUUACAGUCUGUGUAGAACUGUGCAUUGCUGGCAGCUGUAGAAACAGAGCUGCAAAGGAGACUGCUAUGAUGUCUCCCAGAGAUCACGCUAAGAACUGUGCUCAGUGCUCUUUUUUCUUUUCUACUCUCUACUGACAGCAGGAACAGCACAUUUUGUUUACAUGCUGGUGUAAUUGUAAUUUCUAGGAGGCUUUCGUAUAGUCUUCCAUAGGGUGAUCACUUCACCCAAAGGCCCACAGAAUUUUUAAAGUUUGGUCAGGAUGUUACAGUUCUUGUAAGAGAAUGAAAAUCUUCCAGCUGGUUUUAGUUGUUGACAGAGAUUUGGGGAAUUAGAAACCUGGGGAGUUGGAGGGAGAAGAGAGAUGGAGAUGUACGUUUCAGUCGCCAUGAAGUCAUUGUGGAGUUUGAGCAUAAGCAUGACGUGAUUUCCAUUAUUCUAAUCUGUUGAGGGAAGACAGUCUGAAGAAAUUACUGACGUAAGAAUUGGAUGUCAGGCUAUGAACCAGGGAAAAUUACAUUUAUAGUUCAGCUGAGCAGGAGGGAGAGCCCUAAGAACUGAUCUAGAACAGGCAUGUUAAUAUAUGUGUACGUACAAGGGCUGCUCCGAAAGUAAUGCCUCCUGUUUUAUUGUGUUGGCUCACGAUGUCAGUUGAUAGUAUGGAAGUAGAAGUUGAACCUUCCCACCAGUAGUAUUCCAUUACAUUUUGUUGCUGUGAGACAGACAGCAGCAGAGGGGCAAUCUGACAAAUGGCAUCUUGACAUGGGAAUGCGUUAUGAAGCAAAGGUAUGGAAUUGAAUUCCUCCAUGUGGAAAAAAAAUGGC